rnacentral:rRNA from 1 species
AAGAGUUUGUGACUGAUAGUAAACAAAGUACUGUGAAGGAACUUAUGAAACUGGGUUA